UGUUCCUUCUUUUUGAGAGGGAGAAAUGCAGACAGUCCUUGCAGCUGCUGCCUAAACAAGUGAAAAAAUAUUUAAAAAACAAGCCAGAAGUCUGCAUGAAGCCAUUUUUGUACUCUGGAGAAUAUAUGUUUGUUUUUCCGAUCUGUCCUUGCCUUGGUGACGUUGUGAACGUAACUGAACGGGACUUGGUCCCUGCUGUGACUACAGUAUCAGCCCUGGUCCCACUGUGGAUCUUUCUUGGAGCCCCUGGGUGACUCCCACAGUGGAGGAGGGGCUCUUUGUCACAGUGGCUGACCCAGCUCCUGCACCUGGACUCUGGACCCUGCUCCAGGUCAUCCACACAAACUCCACAGGAGGUCAGGAGAACAUUUGGAGCUGGUGUUCCUCACACGUAGUGGGAAUAUAUUCAGCUCAGUUUUCCUGCUGGGAUUACAUUUGACUCGAGCAGGCAUAGCUGGGAAUGAGGAGACACCACAUCACUGUGAUUGUUGUUGUACAAUCUGUUUAUUCAUGCACUGCUGCAGCUGGUGAUGUCACAGUGUUCAUGUUUCAUGUGUGUGUAAAUGUUUUACUUUAUAUGAUGUUUAGAAAAGCAGUCAAACACUCGUACUUCCAUAAAACUCUACAGCAGAUUAAAUGGUUACAUCCACCUUUAAACGUCCACACUGAUGAAGCAACAACAGGUUUGAACCCCCUGUGUGUAACAUCACUGGGGCUGUGCGCUAUGACCAUGAGCUCAUAUCCUAUCGUCCUGCACACCUCUGUUGUUUGUGAAGCUCGCACACAAGAAUUUCACUCACAUGUACUGUACCAGUGUACCUGCACUUAUUUCAAUCAGACAUGCUGUCAGUAAAUGAUUGGUUUCUAUUGAUUCUACUUCCUGUUGACUAGUUUGAUGACAGUGAAACAAUCACAGCUGAUUGUGUGAUGAUGUAAACUGUCACUGUUACAUUCAGUGUGUGUGACAUCAUGUUAGUGCAGGCUGAUAACAGCCUGGUUAUGAUGCUGUUAGAAACACAUGAACGUGUCCAUAGAUCAGUGUGUGUUUAACAUGAGAGCUUCAGCCCUGCUGAUGUGUUCAAUAAUGAUGUGUUCCCUCUAUGCUUACGGAUCUAUGACAAAAGUAUGAGCUCAAACUGACAUGGCCUACCUUGUGCACAGAGAAAGCAAAAGCCAGAUGUGUUUUUCAUUCAUACCAUCAGUGUGUAGUUGGUGCAUUGUGUGCUUAUUAAUUUGAUGGCUUGUGUUUACUGUCUGAUACAAAAAUACCAUUUUUACAAAGGUGUGGUGAGUUAAGCAAAGGUUAUUCGCUUUUACAAGAAAACUACAAUGUUUUGCUGAUUGGGUGAAGAGUUUUCUUAUUUGUGUGUAGAGUUUUGCAAAAAUAGCCAAUAGUUACAAAAAAUGUGCUCAAGCCAUCAGAAAAAACUGUAAUACAGGGGCUCAAAAACAACUAACAUCUUUAUUAUAGCGCUCGGAGUCUGAUGUUGGCUCAUGUGUUGUCAUACACCAACAUGAGGUUCUACUAGUCAAGGCCUCACCUUAACCCACUGAUGCUGAUCACACAGACCCACUAAUAGAACUGUUUGAUCAGGUUUAUGCAGCGUCACCAUUAAUGUCACAUUUAAUCAGACACAUUUACAUUACAAGCCCAGUACAACCAUUAUCAGCAUGUUACAUUACAUUAUACAUCUGCACUGAUUUAAAGUAUUUUAACCUGAUUCAUUGUUUCAGGAGGAGAUUUCCAUCAAACACUGGAUUCUGAUUCAGAUCAAACUAACAAUCCAAAGCAGCAACUUUCAAAUCACUGGAUUCUUCUUGGUGGCUUUCAGAUGAGCUCAUGUUACAAUCAGCUGCUGUGUGUGUGUUGUUGUGUAGCUGAAGCUCUGACUCACAUUUCAUAUGUGACCAAAGGAAACUUGGUGCUGUGUGACACACUUUAGAUUCUCUGCUGCUGCUUUGAACUCUUCAAACUAAAGAGCCAAACUGAUGAUUGACUGUGCAGCUCUGACAUGGCACCAAAUGUCCCUGUUAUCAGCUGCUGGAUGGACGUUAUCAGAGCUUUUUAGUCCCACACGGAUCACCAGGAGCUCCUCCUCGGUCUGCAAACAGGCUCAGCAGCUCUGAUCAUUCAUUGGAGUCAGCACAGAGUGUGGAGACAUCUAGUGGUCGUGGAGAGUAGCGCGAUCAAAGCUCUGCUGGUGAAUGUAGUUACUGUAAGGUCUCUGAUGGAGCUCUGUGAUUGGUGGAUUGUCCAAACUAAAUUAAGUUUCUUUGUCCUCUGAUAAACCAUGAAUGGACCGAUCAGCUGAUCAGCAGUCAGGACAUCAGUGUCGUGACACGAGUACUGGAUCAAAUGUGACCCUGAGCUUUGUUUUGACCAACAAAGUUCACAUCCUGCUUCUUCUUCCAGUUCAAACAUGCAAAAGUUCAUUGGUUUCCACAGCAGAGCCUGACACAGCGCUCCACGCCUUCUCCUCAUCACAUUUGUGCUUCCUGACGUGCAGCUGCUUCCUAAACUUCCAGACUUCUAACUUUAUUCAUAGGGAGGAGAUCACUCCACUGCACUGCAGACAGACUUCACACUUUCAUGAAUUCCUUCUAAGGCCUGAUGUGGCUUUGCUUCCUGCUACAGGACACAUUUAUUCACACCUUAUGAACCAAUCAGGAGCCUCCUACCUGUUCCCACAGCCGCCUCAUUAAUAAAAGGAAGUCAGUGUUUCUGUGAGCCGACGAGCUGAACUCAGACUUUUCGCUUAUGCCACGUCUUAUUUCUUUCUUUAUUGUAUUUAUUUAUUUGACCUGCACAGUGAUUUUAUUUCUAUAUGUAGAUAUUUGAUAUUCUGUAACUGAAGCUGUGUCCACGUUUGAUCUCAAAGUGACACAUGGACUCUGUCUGUGUCCUCAGUUUCCCAGCAUGCCUCGGCUGUGGAGCUGAGGGAGAGCUGUUUGUCCUGCUGCCCUGUGAGUUUCCCACUUUUGAACUGGACAGCCCCACAGUGGUGUGGAGUCGCUCCGACCUCAGUCCUCCAACCGUCCACCAGCAUCAAGGAGACGAACUGAAAGAUCCAAACCAGCGUUACAGCGGCCGAACAUCCAUGAAGACUGACGCUCUGGAAACUGGAGACCUCAGCCUGAACCUGACCAACCUCCACCUGUCUGACAGCGCCACCUACACCUGCUCCGUCAGAUCAUUUAGACUGAGAGAUGUCCCACUGCAGGUCAAAGAACCAUUUCCAUCCUGGGCCACAGCUCUGCUGGUUCUGCUGGUUCUGCUGGCUCUUCUGGUUCUCCUGGUUCUGCUGGUUCUCCUGGUUCUUCUGGUUGUCCUGGUUCUCCUGGUUCUUGUUCUCAUCGUCUCUGGAGGUCUUUUAUUUCAUUUCUGGCACUAUUUUAAGUCAGGUGAGUGUCUCCUACUACACUACCCAUAAUGCCGAUGGUUAGCAGGUAGGGGUGGGUUUUGAUUAGUGAUUAAAUCGAUUCUAGCUUGGAUAACAUCAUAUUGAUUCAUUAAAAUCCUGAAUCGAUUUUUAAAUAUAAAUGUAUUUUACCUGAAACGCCUGAAUCUCAGGUUAAAGCUCCCACAGUUUCAACAACCAUCAAACAGCUAAAACAGUAACUGAGAGCAGGAACACGGAUUCUGCACAAAGACGCAUCAGAAUCAGUUUCAUCUAAAAAUCUCUGUUUUCUGCAUUAUUGGCUUGUUGUUACCCACCAGUCUACCGUUGUUGACAGCGCUGUCGGCCGCUGGGUUUGUUGUUGUUUUUGAUUUAGUCUCAUUUCUGCUGCUCAAAACUGAACAAACUUUGUAAAAUGAUGCAAAACUGCAAAACUCUCAGCUGUGUCUGUAAUCAAACCUCUGUAACUUUGCUCUGCUUCACUUCAUCAGGUCAUGUUCACAUGUGUUUUUGUUCUACUGCAGAAUAGUUUUAAGGUCAUCUGCUAUAAAAAGCCAGGCCAGGAAAAUCUGCUUCAUGUUCUUCUGUUUUAUCCUCAGUGACUUUGACACAAAGGCCUCUGCUGUGAUGCUCACACCUCUGAUGAAGCCUCACAGUGUCAGCUUUCUUUUAUAGAUAUAAAAAUAUGGAAAUGAAUGAUAAUAUUUCUGACUGUCUGAGGCAAACUUCAGCGAUUAAAAGUGAAUGGAUUGUAGAAAUGAGUGAGGAUACUGUUAGGGUUCAAUGUUGAGAGAGGAAUCCAUAAAUAACCACAGAUCCAGCCGUGUGCAAUUUAGACGGCAUUUUAAUGAAUACACACGUGCGGAGUCCGAACGCUGUACAGAUUCAGCGUCGAACUGAACUUAAAAUAAUUAGACAAAGGUUUUAUAGAGGUGAGCAUUGUACCACCCCCUCUUCUGUUGUUAGGCAGAUUUAUACAGCAUACGUCACUCAAAACCACAAAUGUUCUGUCAACAACCUUUAACAUAGUUUUAAAGAACAUUGUCUUCGGGUCGGUGCUUCCCCUCAGCUCGUCUUGGCUAUCGCUUCCCUCUGGGAGAUCUGGUGCACUUCCUCUAAGUACUUCGGCACAAUUCUGCAAUUGCAGCAAAAACCCAUCUUCACUUCUUACUUACCAAAAUAGAUCUAUUAUGGUGUGUAUGUGUGUGUCUGCAGUGUAUGCUAUGUAUGUGUCAUGACCUCUCCUGCACUCCGGCUCACCUCACACCCCUCGUCCUAGCCAGACAUAAGGCCUGUGCUCGUGCACAGCUGAACUAUGUGUGACUUCUAAAUGUCACACUCAAAUGAUGAUACUCAAACCAUGAAGGAAACUUACUCAAACUGAACAUAAAUGAAACUUAAGACUUACUCAAAAGGAUAUAAGUGAUAAAUGAUACAAACUUAACUCUUAGCUCUAAAGAAUAUAAGGAUAUAAGGAUAUAACUCCAGGCAUAUGUCAUGUAAGCAGGUGUGUUGCCAUUCCUUUCAGAGCUCCUGUCCUCCUCACCAUGUAUUGGCUGAUCCUUAACGCCUGCCAAGAGUUUCUGACCUUCACUUGACCAGGAGCCACAGCUCUUUAAUAAGUUCAAAUGCAAUCAUGUAUAAAAGAUUAAAAUCAUUUUCAUAACACAGGUUUUCCUUCUCAGAUCUGCCAAUAUGUUUGCUCCUCCUAAUAUAGUCUAAAAGCAACCCCAAGCAAAGCAAUUUGAACUUUCCCCCUAUCAGUGAUCCCUCUAACUAAGUGUGUGUGUGUAUGUCUCGUCUGUCUGUGGGUGCACAGAGUGUGCAUCUGCUCUCUGAACAGUUUCACUUCUGCAAAAGCAUGGCUUGCAGACGCAUUUCCUGUCAGCCUGCAGUCAGCUUCUCACCCACUGAAGACUUCAGUAUAAGAAUACAAAACAUUCAAAAACCUUUAAAUUAUAGAUUCAACUCAACAAUUUAAAGUGGUUCUUACUGGACCUAUAAUAAAGACUUAUAUAAUACCAAUAUAUUUGAACAUCUGAAUGCAUCUGAAUGCAACAUCACUCUCAAUCAUGAAAUGUUAAUGAUGAUUAUACUAAUAGCAGCAAAUAAUAGCAGGAAAAUAUUUCUAUUCUUCACUGCCCUGUUAGCAGGUGUCCUCUGGUGGCUCCUUGACUGUCACACAAUAAUGUGCUGACAGGAAAUGUUGCAGCAGCUUCAGUAAAUGUUCCUCCCUGAGUUGUGCUCAGUCAUGUGGUGGAGAGCUUCAGAUGUUCAGAGCAGGAGAGCUCCAACAAGACCAGGACUGUGUAUUUUCCACCAUCUGCUGACAUCACAAUAUAACUGGUUACUGUUAGUAGUGCAGUGUCAGUGGGUGCAUUUGACCAAAACCAGAGUGGAAACGGUCACAGAUGUGGUGUUUCUUCAAGCAGGCUGUGAGGUGGGCAGCAAGCGGCUUCUCAACAAGCUUUGACCUGAAAGAGAAACUGAUCUAUAAUGUUGAUGUAAUGUUGGAUCUAAGCUGGGUUUGCUGAGCUUUGCUUCCACAACGGCAUGUUUGAAAAAGCUAGAACACUCCAGUCUGAAGAAAAGCGUUAAAAAGGUUUACAAGGCAAAAAGCUUUGUGGGGAGAAUCUCUGAGGGAGCUGCAGACGGCUGAUUCUCAUCAAAUGUCACAGGUGUAAAAGUAGAGCAGCAGUGAGCUGCCACAACAAGAAUGCUCUGGGGGGGUUUGUCAUUGAUUUCGUUGAUCUUAUCUACAGAAAAUCAGACUUUUGUUGCCGUCUGCUUUAGAGCCACAUUUAUAGGUGAGGCAGCUCGAGACGCAACAGCUGAUUUUGGAAUUUCUCCCAUUUUCUGAUCUGAGUUUUGUUUCUGAAGUUUCAAAUAGACUCAUUUAUCCAAUGGCACGUCCUCAAGUGAAGGUCAACAAAGACACAGUCGUGGUCACUCAAACCUACAUCCUCCGCAGACACGUUGCUGAUGCUGAGGCCCAAAGAAAGGAAGCGUGUGAGACAUGGCCAACUGUGGAGGCUCAGUCUGUCUGUUCUUCUGCUCUUCAUCCAACAUGUCUGCAGCACUUUACAGGACGCUGCAGACUAGUUACCAAAGAACGAGUCAGGAACACAUCAGGAACAAACUGAGACACACAAGUUUUACAGAGACCCAACGAAGAUGAAGAGAAAGCUGCUGUAACCUGGAGACCUCAGUCUGACCCUGAAAUACCCACAGAUGGAGACACAAACACCUCCACCUGCACCGUCUGCAGCAGGGAGGGAAACAUCCUGCUGAAGAAACAAGUGCUGCUCACUGUCAGGGCUCAGUGCUGUAGAUGCAGGUCAGAGGUCAGAGGUCAUGGUGGGACCAGUAUCAGUUUACUCCAUUUAAUCCAUUCAGCCUGUGGCUGAUAAUGUUUCUAAUAAUGACAAACUGGAAACACAACUUUACGAUUGUUUCUUUAACCUCAUAUUUCCUGAAGUAUUCAGACACUUAUUUGAAGCCCCUUCAGCAGGAAUCACAGCAGCAGCUGUUUUUGAUGCAACGAGCCUCGUCCACACCUGGAGUUUCUGUCCUUCUACUUUCUAAAUACUCACAGGCUCAGGCAGUGGGCUCACAAAGAGGGGGCUCUGAGCCCUUUAUCGUUUGCAGUGCUGAUGAACACUCUGAUGUUUGCAGACAAAGUUAUGAUCUGUAGUGAGAGUGAGGAGGAGAGUCUGCAGAGAAGAGAAAGUACAAACAAGGAGAGAUGAGGAGGAGGUCAGGGCUGAUUGAUUUAUGACAGGAGGAGAGCAGUAAGAGUGAAGAGGAGGAGAUGGCAGUGAGACCUGCUGUGAUGGAGACGGUGGCACACAGACAGGAGGAGCUGCAGGUGGCAGAGCUGAAGAUGCUGAGAGUUUGGUUGGAGCUGAGCAGCAUGGACAGGAUUAGAAAGAAGAAGAUCAGAGGGAUCGCUCAGGUCCAGCAGAGCUGCAGUCAGACUGUGUGCUGGAUGCUCCACUCCAGAAACUGACUCAGUGUGUGUGUCAAGUUCACACAGUGCAGAAACAAACAGCCUUCACUUUACAACAUGAUCACAGGUUUAUUGAUCCAUCAGAGCAGCUGGAAGGAAGAGACGAGCUCCUGAACAUUUCCUGAUGCUGCUGCAGAAACAAAGUGAUUCAUUAUUAGUUUGAUUAGAUCUUUAAUGUCACAGCUGUCUGAAACAUGCUGAUGUCACACAGUUUGAUCAGACUGUGCAUUGGUACAUAGUGUUGGUUUUACCUGCAUGAUUUUAUUGUCAUGUUUGUUUAUUGAUAUUUAAAUAUCAGGUUUUAUCCUGAUAUUGUGUGUUUUAGUGUUGUUGCACAAUAUUCUUUUAAUCCACUGUGGAUGCAAUCCACAGCAGGGCAGGGGUGUCCCUCUGCCUGCAUCUGGUGGUGCUACGACGGAGGCCGUGUUCAGGUGUGGAGUGGGGCGGGGCUGUGACGCGCUGUCAGGAGGAGACAGGUCUGUGACAGGAGCCCCGCCCCCUUGUUCUUCUGGCCGGCGUGGUUUCCAUCCUGGGAGAGAAAUUCCUCUCCUGUUUCAGAUAAGGAACAUUUGCCCGCGUGUGGCUGGUCUGUGGGAUUAUGGGAAUUUUAGCCUAUGGAAACAUUUGUUUAGCCUUUGUGUUGACAGUGUAGAGUUAUUUCUGCGGGCAGUGUUUUUAGCGUGUUGAGACUCUUUUUAUUGUAUAGGGGAUUUAACCUGUAACUCUGGUUGUGUCUGUUUCCAUGGAAAUAAAUGGUGUGUUUAAGGCCAACUUAGUGUCUGUGCCCUGAGCACUGACCCACUCACUCCCCUUCUACUUGUAUGUGAACGCACUUUGAGGUGCAGAUUUAGAUCCACCACUUUUAGCGGCUCCACUAACACUGAAGCCUCACACAGAAAGUCAUUUCCAUGUGCCGUUUAUUUACUUUCCGGCUCUUUGAAACUUCGCUGCCAAAUGUGGAGGAAAAGUUUUAUCUGUAGCUAUCUGCAGCAUGUAUAAACUGAUAUUAAUCUUUAACAGGGCUGUCAAAACUGAGAGCAAACAAAAGAACUGCUGUAUAAUGCCAUCCACCCACUUAGUUUAAUUGGUCACAUGACUGCAUCAUAUGACUAAAAUGCGUCAUUGUUUUCAAAGGGCUCAGUUUUUGCAGUCCAGAUUGCAACAUGAAAACUGCCUUUUCAAAAAGCUCAGUAUAUUAUAUCUCAGCUACAGCAGGACUGUGCGGUGACGCGCUGUCAGGAGGAGACAGGUCUGCGACAGGAGCCCCGCCCCCUUGUUCUUCUGGCCGGUGUGGUUUCCAUCCCGGAAGAGAAAUUCCUCUCCUGUUUCAGAUAAGGAACAUUUGCCCGCGUGUGGCUGGACUGUGGGAUUAUGGGAAUUUUAGCAUAUGGAAACAUUUGUUUAGCCUUUGUGUUGACAGUGUAGAGUUAUUUCUGCAGCAGGGUUUUAAGUGUGUUGAGACUCUUUUUAUUGUAUAGGGGAUUUAACCUGUAACUCUGGUUGUGUCUGUUUCCAUGGAAAUAAAUGGUGUGUUUAAGGCCAACUUAGUGUCUGUGCCCUGAGCACUGACCCACUCACUCCCCUUCUAUUUGUAUGUGAACGCACUUUGAGGUGCAGAUUUAGAUCCACCACUUUAAGCGGCUACACUAACACUCAGAGAGUCAGUUGGAGGUGGAGGAGGGGGCGGAGUCUGUCCGGCUGCCUGAGGACACUCAGGUGGAGUGGUGGCACCGUCCUGAGAAGCCUGACAAACAGCAGCAGCAUCACAGAGACCGAGUGAAAGAAAGACGAGCGUGUGAAAAGCGGACAGUUCAGCCUGACCCUUAAACACCCCACAGAGAGAGACAGAUACAGCUGUGUGGCCUGGAGCCAGGGAAACAUCAUCGGAUGGAGAGUCGUGCUGCUCACAGUUACAGGGACGGUUCAGGUCCAGGAUCAAACAUCAGGAACAGAAGCAGCUCCAUUGAUCCGACUCCUCUGAUGGCUGAUCAAUCAGUUUGAUCUGUUUGAUUAUUGAUCAGUGAUGUCAGAGUGGAGUCAGUGUGAUGAUCAGUUUAUGUCAGUAUGUCCAUGAAGGUUCUCCAUCAUCCAGGUCAUCGUAGUCGAAGGAGCUUGGAAAGAAAAGCGUCUGGACUUCUUUAAGUUGCUUGAAGACGUUUCACCUUCAUCUGAGAAGCUUCUUCAGUUCUAGGGCUUAAAUCUGGGACUCUUCAAAUGGUGAAGAGUCCCAGAUUUAACUCUGUUGGAGUGUCCCCCUAAGAUCCCUUCCCAGACGCCUUAACGCCCACUCACAUCCUGGGCCAUCUGACCUCAGGAAAUCCCAUGAUAGGGUGAGAGACAAGCUUGUAGACAAACAGCUUUUUACACUAUAAUUACCUGUUUGAGUCCAGUGAGUGUCAAUGACAGGAAAUCCUCACCUGGUGGUGAGUGAGAGAAACCACAGCAGAGACCUCUGUGUUUAAGAAAUGGAUGGUUAUGGUCGCUGAUGCUCUCAGCUGGCUCAGGUUUCACACCAGCACACAGGUACGAGUGCACAAGCUCCCACUGUGGAGUAGACACUACAGGGACUACAUGUGAACGCCUGUGGAACUGUUCACACAGACUGUGUAGUUACAGGAAGCUGCCAGCAGGUGGCAGCGACUAGCUGAACCUCCAGGCCGUGACAGCCAAAUCCAGAAACAACACUAACAAACAUAACAAGAAAACACAAACAAGAAGAAUGACCACUGACACAGGUCUCGGGAACAGUCACCAUUUCUGAUAAUCUUUAAUAACAUGAUGUUUACCAGGAAUGAGUAUCAGUUGUGAUUCAUCUGAGGUUAGCUGGGCUCUUGUUAACCAACCAACUCUGAGAUGCUUGGAGGAAAGGUUGUACUUUGCUGAGUUGGCUUCAUUAGCCAUGAAGAAAAGACUAGCUGGUCAGCUGGAUUGUUGUCGGUAGACACAGGCUUCCAUUGUCUUACUCUAGUGAACUGUUUGAUCUGUUCUUUUCAAACCAUAGAUGGCCACCGCUGGAGAUUGACCACUGCCAGCUUCAUCUGAAACUCAAGGUUGAGGUCACAAAACCACAAGACAGAAAUAAUCCCAAGGUUUUUCUUUGCCCAAGAAGCUGUGGAACAUUUGCUGAAUGUCAGUUAUACUGCAAAGGGUUUGCACUUGAAACAUACAAGCAAACUGUUAUUUAGACCUGAGCCUGGCGUAGCACAUGAAAAAGGGACAUAGUAUUGUACUGAGCACUGAAGUUACACUCAGUAGCACAGGAACAGAGCGGGAGGGAGAGAGAGAGAGCCAGGGACAACAACGUCACAUUAGAAAGGUAUAGUAAUCAUCCACAACUAUUUUCAGUUGCAGAUCAUAAAGGAUUCAGAAAGUUUAUUCAUGCAGGCCCAUAUGACAGAGAAUAUGCAUCUUCUUUUUGUUUUCAUAUUUUAAUUUAUAUUUAAUUGUGUUGUGGUUUGCAGUGUUUUGUGUUGUUUCACUUUACAUUGGUUUAAAAGGAAAAAGCUGAAAAUUUAAAUAGUUAAAAGUUGAAAAGUUGGUUUUUGUAUUAUAUGAUUUAUUCAGUACAUUUUAUCUGGAGUGAAUAAAUAAAAGUAUAUUUGCGGUGGCCCCUACAGACAAAGCAGCACGUACAAACUCCAAAACAUGUACAAACACAACAGAAGUGCUCCAGGAUGCGCAGUGUUGAGCUUUUGUUACCUAGUGGCUACACAAGCCAGCAAGUACCAACAACCGGAUUUGGUGUGUGGUAGUAACAGGUAAAUGAACUUUUUUUUUAAAUUAUUUGAAUAUAUAUGAGUGCUUGUGUAUAAAUACACAAACAAUACACAUAUGCUUUCAACUGUGUAAUUUAAGUGAUCUAGGUAGCUCUGUUUUGGAAGUUCAGUUCAUGCUACAAAUGUGUUUUGGAGUUUGUACGUGCUUUGUCUCUAGGGGCCAUUUAAACAUAUAUGUAUAUAAACAUAUAUAAAUAAAAACACUUUUUUAACAUUAGUAAUUCCUUUUGUGCAUAAUUUUAUAUUAUUGUUAAUAAUAAAUUAAUUAAAGCAACAAAACAACUGAAGAGCCAGUUCUCUGGUCCCCUCCCCAAUCAGACCAGGAGUGACAUGUUUAGCCGCAUGUUCUCCUUAAAUUGCUGGCUGUCUGAGUGGUGUCCCAGAAACGAUGUGGGCUUCAUAGAUAAUUGGCAAACCUUCUGGAGGAAACC
ensembl:lncRNA